rnacentral:rRNA from 1 species
GAUGAACGCUGGCGGCGUGCCUAAUACAUGCAAGUCGAGCGGACAGACGAGGAGCUUGCUCCUCUGACGUUAGCGGCGGACGGGUGAGUAACACGUGGAUAGCCUACCUAUAAGACUGGGAUAACUUCGGGAAACCGGAGCUAAUACCGGAUAAUAUAUUGAACCGCAUGGUUCAAUAGUGAAAGACGGUUUUGCUGUCACUUAUAGAUGGAUCCGCGCCGCAUUAGCUAGUUGGUAAGGUAACGGCUUACCAAGGCAACGAUGCGUAGCCGACCUGAGAGGGUGAUCGGCCACACUGGAACUGAGACACGGUCCAGACUCCUACGGGAGGCAGCAGUAGGGAAUCUUCCGCAAUGGGCGAAAGCCUGACGGAGCAACGCCGCGUGAGUGAUGAAGGUCUUCGGAUCGUAAAACUCUGUUAUUAGGGAAGAACAAAUGUGUAAGUAACUAUGCACGUCUUGACGGUACCUAAUCAGAAAGCCACGGCUAACUACGUG